rnacentral:rRNA from 1 species
ACAGCUCCCUUUUAAUACGCCUUUCGUAUCAGGAAGGUUUAAAAAAAAAUAAAACUAGUCUAACCGAAACAUUUUAGAACAAAAAGAGUCACAUUUUUUUUGUAAAAACUUCACUAAAUGCAAUAACUGUGAUUUAGGUUUCGUAGGCAGUUUUAUAGUUCUUUAUGAAAGUGUACACUGUUUUUGAGUGUACGAGUAUUUAAGCAGUUUUUUUUUAAAAACUGAGGUAGUUAACAAAUGUUAUACACAAACAUUUCCAAGUCUUAACUUGGUAGCCCCUGCUAUUUAAAAGCGGCAAUCCUCUAAGGUAGCGAAAUAAAUUGGCCCUUAAUUAGGGUCUAGUAUGAAAGGGCCAAUUUUUAACUUACUUAUUUUAUAAACUUCAGAAAAAUUAAAUUAUUAGUCAUAAUUCUAAUGGAUAAAAGCACUACGACAAGACCCUUGAAUCUAAAAAGUUUGUUGGGGAAAGAACCAUUAAACAAAGUUUCAAACUCUUAAAACACUAAGAUACUCAAGGGAUAACAGCGGGACCCACGUAUAGACGAAAUACCUCGUGCAUACCCGACCUCGAUGUUGGAUCAGUUUUUAUGCGUAAAAAAAAUGGGUUUGUUCACCCCAUAGUAAUCUACGUGAUCUGAGUUAAGAACGUUGCAAAACAGUUCAGAUUCUAUAGGCUUUAAGAACUUGUGUCUUUAUAGUACGAAAGGACCUAAAGGUAUU